GCUCGGUUCAACUCCCCCCCAUCCAAUUGAGCAAAGUAGGGUCCUUCAGUCCUUUCAAUAAACUAAGUUAGUUUUGUCUUGUUCCACAAGUUCAAUUUUUGAUUCAAACCCGACCCGGAUCCGAAACUCGUCGGAUACGGGUUCGCUCCCCCCCAUCCAACUGCGAUAAACGUUUUAAUAUUCAACCGCCACCAUCAAUCUCGGCAAGAUCGCCGGAAAAUGAUCGUAGGCGGAGAUUCUCGCCUGAUCGCGGCGGCGAUGUCGCCGAGGCGUCCGAGGUCGGAGGCCUCGUCUCUUUUGGCGUAUUCGCCGGUUUUGGAUCUCUCGGAUCGAGCUCUGAUGCUAAUCGAUGCGGUCUCCAGGGGUUUUAGAAAUGAAGGCGAGGGCGAGAUCGGAGAUGAGCUCAUUUGCUUCAUCGAUCUUAGAUCUCCGCUCUACUCGGAUCCCUAAUCCUUCAGAACCUUUAUGUAUUAGAGCGGAGAUGAGAUGAUAAUGAUUGGUGCACCGAGCUGAAAGUAAUCCAUGUGAGAGUUGUAGGCUUGUAGUGGUUAUAUAUUCCCCGUCACUCGAAGUGCUUUUUUUUUUAAAAGAAAAAAGGCAGUUUUUUUUUCAGGCCAAGAUUGUAAUUGGGACUCAUUAUUGGUUAAGUUUCACCCCUUCAGAUGAAAUGUCUCUACUGAAGAUUCCAAUC